rnacentral:rRNA from 1 species
UACGAAGGGGGCUAGCGUUGUUCGGAUUUACUGGGCGUAAAGCGCACGUAGGCGGAUCGUUAAGUCGGGGGUGAAAUCCUGGAGCUCAACUCCAGAACUGCCUUCGAUACUGGCGAUCUUGAGUCCGGAAGAGGUGAGUGGAACUCCUAGUGUAGAGGUGGAAUUCGUAGAUAUUAGGAAGAACACCAGUGGCGAAGGCGGCUCACUGGUCCGGUACUGACGCUGAGGUGCGAAAGCGUGGGGAACAAACAGG